CCUACGGGUGGCAGCAGUGAGGAAUAUUGGUCAAUGGGCGAGAGCCUGAACCAGCCAAGCCGCGUGAGGGAUGACUGCCCUAUGGGUUGUAAACCUCUUUUGCCUGGGGGGAAUAAGCCGUACGAGUAGAGUGCUGACGGUACCCUGCGAAUAAGCAUCGGCUAACUCCGUGCCAGCAGCCGCGGUAAUACGGAGGAUGCGAGCGUUAUCCGGAUUUAUUGGGUUUAAAGGGUGCGUAGGCGGCAGUUUAAGUUAGCGGUAAAAUAGUGGGGCUUAACCUCACCGAGCCAUUGAUACUGGGGGGCUAGAGAGCGGAGGAGGUAGGCGGAAUGCG
rnacentral:rRNA from 1 species